rnacentral:rRNA from 1 species
UACGUAGGGCGCAAGCGUUGUCCGGAAUUAUUGGGCGUAAAGAGCUCGUAGGCGGCUUGUCACGUCGGGUGUGAAAGCCCGGGGCUUAACCCCGGGUCUGCAUUCGAUACGGGCUAGCUAGAGUGUGGUAGGGGAGAUCGGAAUUCCUGGUGUAGCGGUGAAAUGCGCAGAUAUCAGGAAGAGCACCCGUGGCGAAGGCGGCUUUCUGGGACGGUACUGACGCUGAGACGCGAAAGCGUGGGGAGCGAACAGG